ensembl:lncRNA
GUAGUGUCUACAGUAGUAAUGGUAGUGACUGGUUAUAGUAGUGGUAGUGACUGGUUAUAGUAGUGGUAGUGACUGGUUAUAGUAGUGGUAGUGUCUGGUUAUAGUAGUGGUAGUGUCUACAGUAGUAAUGGUAGUGACUGGUUAUAGUUAUAGUAGUGGUAGUGUCUGUUAUAGUAGUGGUAGUGACUGGUUAUUGUAGUGGUAGUGACUGUGACUGGUUAUAGUAGUGGUAGUGACUGGUUAUUGUAGUGGUAGUGACUGGUUAUUGUAGUGGUAGUGACUGGUUAUAGUGGUGGUAGUGACUGGUUAUAGUAGUGGUAGUGACUGUUUAUAGUUAUAGUAGUGGUAGUGUCUACAGUAGUAAUGGUAGUGACUGGUUAUAGUAGUGGGAGUGACUGGUUAUAGUAAUAGUAGUGGUAGUGACUGGUUAUAGUUAUAGUAGUGGUAGUGACUGUGUCUGGUUAUAGUAGUGGUAGUGACUGGUUAUAGUUAUAGUAGUG